UACGUAGGGGGCAAGCGUUGUCCGGAUUUAUUGGGCGUAAAGAGCGUGUAGGCGGCCAGGUAGGUGGGUUGUGAAAACUGGAGGCUCAACCUUCAGAGGUCGACCCAAACCCCCUGGCUAGAGUCCGGAAGAGGAGAGUGGAAUUCCUGGUGUAGCGGUGAAAUGCGCAGAUAUCAGGAAGAACACCCGUGGCGAAGGCGGCAUUCUGGACCGAUAUUGACGCUGAGGAGCGAAAGCCAGGGGAGCAAACGGG
rnacentral:rRNA from 1 species